rnacentral:rRNA from 1 species
GGAACGUACCCUGGAGUGGGGGAUAACGUAGCGAAAGUUACGCUAAUACCGCAUACGAUCUAAGGAUGAAAGUGGGGGAUCGCAAGACCUCAUGCUCGUGGAGCGGCCGAUAUCUGAUUAGCUAGUUGGUAGGGUAAAAGCCUACCAAGGCAUCGAUCAGUAGCUGGUCUGAGAGGACGACCAGCCACACUGGAACUGAGACACGGUCCAGACUCCUACGGGAGGCAGCAGUGGGGAAUUUUGGACAAUGGGCGAAAGCCUGAUCCAGCAAUGCCGCGUGAGUGAAGAAGGCCUUCGGGUUGUAAAGCUCUUUUGUCAGGGAAGAAACGGUGAGGGCUAAUAUCUCCUGCUAAUGACGGUACCUGAAGAAUAAGCACCGGCUAACUACGUGCCAGCAGCC